rnacentral:misc_RNA from 1 species
UCAUUCAAUCUACACAACGA